rnacentral:sRNA from 2 species
CUUAAUAAAUAGCUGAAUCUUCCCUUGGGAUAGGGAGGUACGGAGGAACCAAUAUUUUGGGGUUAAUCUAUCGAAAGAUAGUAGGGGUGAUCCUAUUACCCGAACCCGACAGCUAACUUCGGAAGCUAUAAAUAGGAGGAAAA